AUCAUUACAUUUAAUUUAUUUACAUUUUCGGACAAAAAAAAUUACCCAACAAUCAACAUAUAUUUUUAUAACAUAUCAACAUGCAUGAAUAUCAGUUAUAGUGUUAUGAGGAAAGAAACAAAAAAACUAACUUGUUCAAGCUUUACAAAAAAAUAUCUGCAAUUCAAUCCAAAAACAACAAGAGCUGGGGCAAUAGCUGACCACAGGAGGCGACAAAUAACACAACUGCAAAUAGUAUAGAAAAUAAAUAACAUUAGUAACCACUAAAAAUUAAUAUCAUGAUAAAAACUGAUAAGAAAUGAAGAUUUUUUUACCAAAUAAAUGAAGUUUGAUGAAGGUUUUGUGUUUUAAGUGAAGAAAUUUUGUGAAGAAAAUUUUGGUUAAGAGUUGCUGGCUCAAAUAACCGGUG
rnacentral:lncRNA from 1 species